UUCACGCUAAAACACGGGAGUUACAGUGUUCCAGGGUUCGAUCCUGAGCUCCAGAGUCUGUAUGGAGUUUAAUAUGUUCUCUUUGUGUCUGCGCAGGUUUCCUCUGGGUUCUCCGGUUUCCUCUCAACACAUGCCAAGAGCCUACUCUGCUCUGAUUGGUCAGAUAUCCCAGGCUGUUGUGAUGACAGUGCGUGUUGGAAAGGAAACGCCCACUACCGUAUACGAGUUGACCAUGUCGGUUUUACCUGAUCAGUUUGAGCCAGAGUCCGAUAACGAUGCACCGGAAGAUCAACCCGAACCACCACCGUAAUCACGACGAGAACAGGACGUUCCUCAGUGGUUGUGAUCCAGAGGCACAAGACGGUCCAAAUAAAGUGGGUACGGCCAACGUCUUCUAGACAUAAACCUAUCUCUUUCGAGACGCAACAUCAACCGUAGUGUUUGCGAGCGGCCAAUGAACACCAAAGACGGGGUUGCUGUUACCGACCUACGUAGGUUCAUACAGGAAGUAAGUCUGGAAUUACUGACGAUUCGUUUCAGAAUCGGUUCUGUCUUUUGGGAGCCUAGAGGUCUGUUUUUGAAACUUUUUAGACUUUUUACAUUCACGAACAGGUGCACUUUAAUUCCGGUCCACGAGAGCUAACAUGCUAGCUAGCUUUAGCCUAGCUGUGUUUAUUCAGAGCUUGUUGUUCAUCACCGGCAAAUGAACUGCUGCUAGUUUGGGUUUCAUUCUCAUGGAAGUGAGAAAAAACAAACAAACUAGCCAAUUCUAAACAAGAAAAAACAUUCCAUUUAUAGUAUCCAAAGGACGUCCGGAAUGUGCUGAAGGAUCCAUUUUUGGUUUAAAUGGAUCUUUAAAGGAUUUCUAAAGCUGUUAAUAUAAAUACACUACACAGCUUCUAUUGAAUAUAUUAUGCUCUUCGAAAUGGAGUCAAGGCUUGCAAAUCUAUGAGGGACAGGAUGGGCAAAUAAUUAUAUUUGUGUGUAUAGGAAUGAGGUUAACUUGUUUAAUAAAACCCCCACCCCACCCAUUAUUGACUGAUCCAAUUUGUUGUUUGCAUUAUAUUUAAAUAUAGGUGGAAGAGUCCAAGUCCUUGGAAGGGGGGAGGACAUUGUAUUUGGCUGAAUGCUCUGGGAAAGAAGCUUCUUGUCAAUCAAUGAGUCUUAGACCAACAAACUGAUCUGCAGAAUCCCGAGGACUAAAGGCUAAUGUGGCUAACAAGAAAGGGAGGCUUCUAGCCGGCAGUUUGGCGUUGUUUAUGGAGGGAGGGAGGAAGUAACACGGCAUAAUUAUAGGUCGGGUUUUGAAGUUGACUUUUACUCCAUCGACUUUAGAAAAAGAAAUGAAGAAAAAGCUCUAUUUUCCACACAUUAAACUUUCACUUUUUUGCUACGUACACUUUGUAUUUAUUUAUCGAUCGUCACAGUUAGCUAUUAUCAUUAAGCUAGUUCGUAUGGUCAGGAGUUAUUGUCAUGCUAGCUAGCAUUUGAGAGAUUGGGAAUAAAGUCGUUGUUAGCUCGCGUCAGCGAAUGUUUUAGUAUGUUCCGUCUCUUUCACCCGACAGAAACUAACA